UACGUAGGGUGCGAGCGUUGCCCGGAUUUAUUGGGCGUAAAGGGCGCGCAGGCGGCCACGCGCGUCCGUUGUGAAAUCGCUCGGCUCAACUGGGCGAGGUCAGCGGAUACGGCGUGGCUGGAGCAAGCUAGGGGGCAAUGGAAUUCCCGGUGUAGUGGUGGAAUGCGUAGAUAUCGGGAGGAACACCAGUGGCGAAGGCGGUUGCCUGGAGCUUUGCUGACGCUGAGGCGCGAAAGCCAGGGGAGCGAACGGG
rnacentral:rRNA from 1 species